rnacentral:rRNA from 1 species
UCCAGACUCCUACGGGAGGCAGCAGUGAGGAAUAUUGGUCAAUGGUCGGGAGACUGAACCAGCCAAGCCGCGUGAGGGAGUACUGCCCUAUGGGUUGUAAACCUCUUUUGUCGGGGAGCAAAAGCCGGACGUGUCCGGCUGUGAGAGUACCCGAAGAAAAAGCAUCGGCUAACUCCGUGCCAGCAGCCGCGGUAAUACGGAGGAUGCGAGCGUUAUCCGGAUUUAUUGGGUUUAAAGGGUGCGCAGGCGGAUUUUUAAGUCAGCGGUCAAAUCGUGGGGCUCAACCCCAUCCAGCCGUUGAAACUGCAUCCCUUGAGUGCGCGAGAAGUAUGCGGAAUGCGUGGUGUAGCGGUGAAAUGCAUAGAUAUCACGCAGAACUCCGAUUGCGAAGGCAGCAUACCGGCGCGCAACUGACGCUCAUGCACGGAAGCGUGGGUAUCGAACAGGAUUAGAUACCCCGGUAACG